UGGGGAGNGCGCAAGCCUGAUGCAGCCAUGCCGCGUGUNNNNNNAAGGCCUUCGGGUUGUAAAGUACUUUCAGCGGGGAGGAAGGCGAUAAGGUUAAUAACCUUGUCGAUUGACGUUACCCACAGAAUAAGCACCGGCUAACUCUGUGCCAGCAGCCGCGGUAAUACAGAGGGUGCAAGCGUUAAUCGGAAUUACUGGGCGUAAAGCGCGCGUAGGUGGUUAUUUAAGUCAGAUGUGAAAGCCCCGGGCUUAACCUGGGAACUGCAUCUGAUACUGGAUAACUAGAGUAGGUGAGAGGGGAGUAGAAUUCCAGGUGUAGCGGUGAAAUGCGUAGAGAUCUGGAGGAAUACCGAUGGCGAAGGCAGCUCCCUGGCAUCAUACUGACACUGAGGUGCGAGAGCGUGGGUAGCAAACAGGAUUAGAUACCCUGGUAGUCCACGCCGUAAACGAUGUCUACCAGUCGUUGGGUCUUUUAAAGACUUAGUGACGCAGUUAACGCAAUAAGUAGACCGCCUGGGGAGUACGGCCGCNAGGUU
rnacentral:rRNA from 1 species